GUAACAGAAACUACAAGAUGAUGGUAAUGCUGCUGCUGUUGUUUUUCUAUCCUGUACCUGGGAAGCUUUUAUAAUAUACAUACAAUUGUAUCCUUCCCCUUGGCAAUAUUUUUAAUGUCCUGGAAUCUGGACUUAAAAGAAAAUUUUAUGUUUAGCUGUGUUAGGCAGCUACAGGUAUAUUUAAGUAAGGAACACAGAGUGUGUCAUGAUGAGCAGCUGUUGACCUUCUUAAAGGAUGCAUGACUCCCUUUCUUCAUCCUCAUUUCUAAUAAAAAGGAAUUCACCUCCCCUCAGAAGAAUGCUCUUUUCCUCCUUUUUCACACUGCUCAAUCUCAACUCAAAAGUCUUCUUCUGAGUUUUCCCUUCCUCUGCUAUCUGAAGAGGUCACCUGAAUGAACUUUGUGUCUUCAUGCAUUUUUUAACCUUUAUAGCAAUAAUCAAAUAAAGCAAUUAUCUUAUUUACUAUGUUCAUUUACUAAUUUACAUUUAUACCCUUCCCAUCGGGAAGUAAAUUCCACAUGGCCAGCCACUAUUGAGUGUCCAUUAUCAUCAUAUCCUCAUGUUGAAACUCCUUGAAGGCAGAGGCAAUGUCAAUGAACCAUUUGUAAACAACAUGGAAACUGAAUUUUUAAAACACAAGAUAUUUAACAUAACAAUCUGUUAGCUUUAAUAUUUCUGGAGAUACAUAGAUAUUCCUGCAGUUUACUAACGCAAAGUGGUUUGUUCAGUGGGUAUUUUAUUCAGAUUAGGUUCAAGUUAUUUAGAUAGUUUAUUUGACUCUGUUAUAAUCUAUGUACUUUUUUUUUUGUUUUUUGAUGAUAGUUGCUUCAAAACCUGAAUUCUAUAUAUCUAGCUACUCAAAUGUUGAUCACCCAUAUCAAGUGGUGAGGAAAAAAAUGGGGUUUGCAAUUACAGAGUCCCAGGUUGAGAUUUUAUCUUGGCCAAUGCACUGAAAUGAGAGGAGAAGUUAUUAACCUCUUUGGAUUCCAGCCACCUAUUCUGUGAUAUGGAACAAUAAGCCUAGGAUUAGCAAUAAUUUUUUAAGAGUAUUUGGUGUUCAUUAGGUACUCCGUAAAAGGUAUGCUAUUGUUAUUAUAUGAAGUCAGCCGUACAAUGAGACACCAACAUCAAAUGCUUUCACUGACAUGUGGAAUCUGAAAAAAGGACAGACUGAACUUCUUUGCAGAACAGAUGCUGACUCACAGACAUUGAAAAACUUAAUGGUCUCUGGAGGAGAUAGUUUGGGGGGUAGGGGGAUGUGCUUGGGUUAUGGGAUGGAAAUCCUGUCAAAUUGGAUUGUUAUGAUCAUUAUACAACUACAGAU
rnacentral:lncRNA from 1 species